UACGUAGGGCGCAAGCGUUGUCCGGAAUUAUUGGGCGUAAAGAGCGUGUAGGCGGCUAGGUAGGUCCGUUGUGAAAACUCGAGGCUCAACCUCGAGACGCCGGUGGAAACCAUCUAGCUAGAGUCCGGAAGAGGAGAGUGGAAUUCCUGGUGUAGCGGUGAAAUGCGCAGAUAUCAGGAAGAACACCCGUGGCGAAGGCGGCUCUCUGGUACGUGACUGACGCUGAGACGCGAAAGCGUGGGGAGCGAACAGG
rnacentral:rRNA from 1 species